CCAGCAGGUUUGAGGAAGGAAUGUAUUCAGAAAAAACCCACUUCCUAUCAGGAAAAUCACAGAGGCAUGAGGCCUGCUCAUUACAAAACAUUAAUGUCAGUUAAUGUUAAUUAGUGUCAAAGAGUUCAGGAGGUUUCUAUUGGAGCAGCUGUCUAGAUUACCAGCAUGAACGUUGGCUACCAUAAUAUGCUGGAUACACGCACUGCAGCAUGUGGAUAGAAACCGCACUUGUCUUAAUCAUUGACGUGACACAAUUCAAAACACCGUACAGGCUCAGUCCACUCUGAGCUGGAUUCCCUUCCUGAGAAGAGAAAUCCAAUGUAAAUGCAUUUGGACGAAGUCAAAUAAAUCCACUCAUCAUGCAUUAUCAGUGGGGUGUGAACAGUGUCAUCUGUUUUAUCUUUGAGAUUU